CUCUGCAUUAUAUACACUCACUACACAAACACACACUCUGCAUUAUAUACACACUGCAUUCAUUAUAUACACACACUACACAAACACACCGCAUUCACAAUAUACACACACUACACAAACACACCCUGCAUUCAUUAUAUACACACUACACAAACACACACUGCAUCCACUACACACACACCUCCCCUGUCUAAACACACUGCACCAACUACAUGUGGCAUGCAUAUUUUGUGCAUUUACCUUUAGAAAUCGUUUAGUUUUUCAAAAUGGUAAAUGUACAGAAUAUCGGCUUGAAAGUUCAGAUUAUCAUAUCUGCUCUAAAAAAAAACAAUAGUGGUCGAUCCCUAAUUUAUAAAACUAUGCAAACACAUUGACACAAGAAUGGUUUGUACUGCAGUACAAUGCCCAGAGGUGUAAACAAGAUGUUCUCAGCACCCCACCCCGAUGGCAUUGUGUAUGGGGCCAGUGAGGCAGAUCUUUGAUGUCCACAAAGAUAGAUCUCCCUUCCUGCCACGACCAAUGGAAGGGCGGAGCUUCCUGUUCCGCCAGCGUUAUCCAGUGUGAACGAUAAUUUGAUCUCCCCUGUUGGCUUAGACCAGGGGUAGGCAACAUUUGGGACUACAUCCCCCAUAAUGCUGGUAAAGCAUAAUUGGAGGUGUAGUCCAAAACAUCUGAAGUGCUGAAGGUUGCCUAUGCCUGGCCUAGGUCCAUGGCAGCCUACCUGGCAGUAGGCUACAGAAGUCUACAUUUUGUGUAUUGUUCCAAACAACUUCUAGCAGCAACUGAAUCUCUCUCUGUGUGUGUGUGUGUGUGUGUGUGUCUAUGUCUGUCUAUCUACAUGUCUUUAAGAUGUAGCUCUUUCUUUAUAAAUCUCCUCCUUCAGCUUUUAGUAAAUCUUUAAUAUGUAAUAGACUUUACUGUAAUUUGUUAUGCGCUGACAAUCAGAUUUUUGAAUCAGUUACUAAUUCUACCUAGUUGUUACAGUGAUUUUGGGUAUUUCGGAUGGGACAGCCAUGUUACUUUAAUAGUUUUGUUAAAUGGUUUGAUGUCUUGCGCCCUCUAGAGGCCGUUCACCACCUAGCAUUUGUGGGUAAUACUGUAUAUGCAUUUUUCGAUGUUUCGGCCAAGAGGCAUGCAAUUUCAAUCAAUCCGUUGUAAAACCUCCAUGUGAAGAGGUAAAUAAUCUCUCAAGACUUUUUAGUGGCAAAAUUCUUGCUUCAACAGG